rnacentral:lncRNA from 1 species
UCCCCAUCUCCUUUGCUCCUCCUUUACUCUUCUUCCCACUACUACUCCCUCCUUCCCCCUUACCAUCUACCACUACAUUAUUCCUUGCUUUCUCCCCUGACGAUGCCGAUUUCUUCACAUUCUUACUAGGGGGUCUCCCUCUUGGUCUUUUGUUGUUACUGUUGGUGGGGAGUUUGGGGAGUUUCUUCUGUGUCCUAUCCCAGUCAUCAUCAUCAGAAUCAGAC